GUGGACAGGUAAAUGACACGAUUCAAUUUUUUGUGCUAAAAGUAGCUCGGCCAAGAGAGGAGGUGCUGGGUCGCGGGGGAAAAACAAAAAGGAGACUCCGAUCCCAAUGGCGGCCGCCGCAGGAGGGGCCGCGAGCACGGGAGAGGUAGGGCGGGCUCGAGGUGGAGGACGGAGUAGAGAUCGCUAGAAGAGUUAGAUCUGGAGCCCUCGUGCGUGGCCGAUGGAGAUCGAGCAGGAGGUGGUGCGAACGCGAACGCACAAACUACCCGUGUCCGACGAGGUGGAGGUGCGUGCCUGCUGUUCGUGCCGCCGGGACUCUUUCCACGAGAGCGGGGGAAAAGAGGAAGACCAAUACUCGUAUCACGUAUCCUUCGGACAUCAUACAUAGACCGCUCCACGUCACACCUCCGUCGCCUUGUUCGUAGUAUAUAUGUUAUUAUGUUUGCUGAAUUUAGGAAGUUCUUCGCAAAGACGCAAGACGAUGAGAACCAAAGAGUAUUAGCGAGUUUCACUUCUCCAACAAGCAUCAAAGACUUAGAACUUUUGACAACCCAUGUCCAUAGUGACUAUACCCUCGAGGGCAACGUAUAAACGCUGAAGAGCCUUCUUCGGACACUUGUAUAGCAGAGACUUAUUCGGGCGGUUUGGGGACUGUGUCCACAACAUAAGACUUGUAAAGGAGCCGUUUAACCCCGUCGAACAGCUUGUUGGGUGCGUGUCGUUUUAGACUUUUAGGAGACUUAGUUUACCCGGGACCUAAUGGUUUCAACAAACCAACGUGGUACGUUUUAUUAGGGAUAUUUUUUAGGAUGUUCUAAACUACGAUGUUUAGUUCUCUUUAUACUGUAACGAAUCACACUCCACGAAUGUUUCAUGAAAAGCGGCACCACAAAUAACUUUAUAAACCCAUUACGUCAAAAUACUAUAACACACCGAAUCGGAAACAAGUCCUUAUCUCGCACCCUUGUUAUAGAAACCAACAUCGGAGAGGGUACCUCAAACCGGACGAGCCGCGUAACAAACCAGAGGUCGGAGAGGGACUGAGAAAGAAGAGGGUCACUGAAGAGGAAAAUGGUUAUGGGCUAUGAACGUAGUGAAUUAAGUAACAACAUGUUGAAGUAAACGAAACACCGUCGUCUCCUUUCCCCCUCUUUUACGCAGGUAACAUGGUGCGAACUGGAAACUCAUUGUAAACAAACUACCCUCUUAAACUACAUACAAGACUUCGAGCACCAUCAAGUAGUUAGAACGUUCUCCUUGACUCCUUUUAGAAUAAGUUGUGUUGUCCUCCCCUUGGCCGACACCAUCAAAAUCCUUAGCCCUACUAGCGGCAUACAAUCUAGAGAUAGAGAAGGUCCGUUACUAGUCUACGUGUUGUACCUUAGUCCUACUAGCAGCAUACUAUCUAGUAAAGGCCCGUUCCUAGCCUGCGUAUUGUACCAUACAUGUACGUUACCUUAACAAUGUAUCUCCAUGCGUAAAACUAGAAGAUUAUACGUGACGACAGUAUUUCCAAUACUAACAACAAAGUCUAUGUGUGUGUGUUUUUACAAGGUACCAAUUAAAACAUCUCCCUUUUUUUAACUCCUGAAUUUCAAAACAAGACAGACUAACAACUGUACGGUUACCUUCACGAACUAACAGAAUUCGAUCUUAAGAAUACCAAACAAAGAAUCACCCGAACAAAACAAAAUAAAAGGUUUGUGGGAUACUAAAAUAGGAUUAGGGUUUAACGACUCCGUUCUAUUCUUAUUCCCCUUAGGUUCGGAUUAAGAACAUAUAUCAUCAUUGUGUGGUAUACAUGUGACUUCAUGAUAAAUACAAGAAGGACUACUUAGGUACCUAAUAGUGUAAGACUUUGGUAAACUACGUCGUUUAUACAUCAAGGGGGUCUACAAGACCAUAGACCUUACUCGAACUACACAAGGCUGUAUCGAGUCAAAUACUGCUUCGGUAGCUUGUCUUUAUAGUUCAAGCCUUUCUCAAAGCUCGCCGCUUUGGUCAGAGAGAGAGGG
rnacentral:rRNA from 1 species